AUUAAACGCUGGCGGCAUGCCUUACACAUGCAAGUCGAACGGCAGCACGGGGGCAACCCUGGUGGCGAGUGGCGAACGGGUGAGUAAAGCAUCGGAACGUGCCCUGGAGUGGGGGAUAACGUAGCGAAAGUUACGCUAAUACCGCAUAUUCUGUGAGCAGGAAAGCAGGGGAUCGCAAGACCUUGCGCUCUGGGAGCGGCCGAUGUCGGAUUAGCUAGUUGGUGGGGUAAAGGCCCACCAAGGCGACGAUCCGUAGCUGGUCUGAGAGGAUGAUCAGCCACACUGGAACUGAGACACGGUCCAGACUCCUACGGGAGGCAGCAGUGGGGAAUAUUGGACAAUGGGCGCAAGCCUGAUCCAGCAAUGCCGCGUGUGUGAAGAAGGCCUGGUUGUAAGCACUUUAUC
rnacentral:rRNA from 1 species